ACACCCUGCAUCUGCCGGUGCCCGCCGCCGCCGACCGCACCCAGCGCCUCCAUGCGCGGGCUCGCGCUCGUGCCUCCCCACCGCCCCGCGCCGCCGGCCACCGGAGCGCCGCCGUCGGACGAGCGCGCCGCCAUGCCCUCUCUCCUUCUUCCCUCCCCUUCAUCCAGUUCUAUCUCUCACCUCCCUCUCUCUCUCUUUUGCAGGAAGCGGAAGCCAUGGCCGCCGGACCGCCGCCCCGCGCCGGCCGGCCAUCGGAGCGCCGCUGCCGGACCAACGGGCUUCCCUGCCAUCCCCUCCUUCUCCCCCUCCCUCCGGUUCUAUCUCUCACCUCCCUCUCUCUCUCCUUUGCAGGAAGCCUUGGCCGCCGGACCUCCAUGCCUCCGCGAGCUCGCCGCCGGCCUGUGACCUCUACGCUGCCUCCAGUCCUCUCCGGACUCCUCCGUCGUAUUCUUCUCAUUCUCCGACGCUGCCAAGUUCGCCCGAGGAAGAAGCGGGGAGUUUGCCGGAGGAACAAGAAUAUCCGUCCAGCCGUCCAUUGUCGCCUGAGCUACACCAGAGGUGCCAAAGGUGUCCGAUCCAACUAAGGUGGAGGCCAAGGAGGUUUAGCUCUCGGACAUUGCACCAAUGACGCUGGAUAAUACCGAUAUGCAUACUGAAUUCGUCCAAGGAUCGUCGGAAGAUCAGAAUUGCGGCUAAUGUCCCUUAAGAGAUUUACAUGAAGAGGGAGAAUGUCGGUAGCUGGAAUUCUGGACCGCAAAGGAGCA